rnacentral:lncRNA from 1 species
CUCUGCACUGGUGAUAGGUCUGUGAUAGUUCACGUUAUUGCACUGGACCUCUUCCUUUGCUCAUUGGAAGCUUUUUGCUGAAUUGGAUGUAACUGAAUAAAGAGAGCACGUGAGAUCUUUACUCCA